AUUGAACGCUGGCGGCAGGCUUGACACAUGCAAGUCGAGCGGGGUGAUGGUGCUUGCACUAUCACUUAGCGGCGGACGGGUGAGUAAUGCUUAGGAAUCUGCCUAUUAGUGGGGGACAACAUCUCGAAAGGGAUGCUAAUACCGCAUACGUCCUACGGGAGAAAGCAGGGGAUCACUUGUGACCUUGCGCUAAUAGAUGAGCCUAAGUCGGAUUAGCUAGUUGGUGGGGUAAAGGCCUACCAAGGCGACGAUCUGUAGCGGGUCUGCGAGGAUGAUCCGGCACACUGGGACUGAGACACGGCCCAGACUCCUACGGGAGGCAGCAGUGGGGAAUAUUGGACAAUGGGGGGAACCCUGAUCCAGCCAUGCCGCGUGUGUGAAGAAGGCCUUAUGGUUGUAAAGCACUUUAAGCGAGGAGGAGGCUCUUUUGGUUAAUACCCAAGAUGAGUGGACGUUACUCGCAGAAUAAGCACCGGCUAACUCUGUGCCAGCAGCCGCAGUAA
rnacentral:rRNA from 1 species